GCAGAGGCGCUGGAGCUGGGUCAGUCCGCCGCUCACCCCGCGGCCGCACCUUCCCGCCUUCUCAGAUAAGGUCUCUUGAGCUGCUUUUUAUCUAAAGGAAGCAGAAGAAAACAGCGAAAUUCAAGAAAAAAAAUCUCCAAGGUGGUUGGCUUCUUGGAAAGCCUGAAUGGUGGCCAAGGACCACCUGGGCUCCCAAGGAGUGGAGGGAGGAGGGAUUCAGUUCCACAGGAAAUAAAUGGGAACAGCCCGGUGGAGAAGACAAUGACAACUGCAGGACAACACCUCAACCACUCCAGAAAACAGCCCUUGCUCCUCCUUCUGGCCUUUUCAUAUUUCCAAGUUACUGUUUUAAAGGAAAAAAAAAAAUGUGUGUGUGGCUGUUUAUUCUCUAAUGUGACAAAAACAUGACCAUCCGGGAGGAGAGGGGCUAACGGUGCAACCAACUGAGGCUGAAACACAGAUUCAGCUGAAAUGCAGCUUCUGCAGAGCGGGGGCCGGCUUCCCUCCUAGCCCUUCAGCUGCUCACCCUGUCCCUGCAGCUCUGAAAAACGCCCUUCCAGUAAGCGGCCAAGGAGCACACGAGCUCCUCCCACCAGCAAAGGGGAAGGGGAGGCCUUGGACAGACGGGGCAGUGAGUGUGUCUGGGCAUGAGCCCGAAGCCACCACCAGCAAAUCCUCCCCACGGAUGCCAGGAGAGCUCUGAUCCUAACCACCACCACCUCUCCCUUCAGCAAAAUCAAAACAGGGAAAGAAAACAUAGGAAACCAAACGGCGGCACUCAACAAUUUGGGGGAACAAGUAAUUUUUAAAAGUAAGAGUUGUUCCGUAAACCAGCACUGAGCUGGUCACACGGCCUCUGGUCUACCUGCUGAGCAUGUCAGAAAUCCCGACGUGGCGUCUGGGGCCCCGUUUCCAGGGCUGGGUGUGUCAGCCACAGGUGAGCGACAGUUCUGAGUGAGUCCAAGUGCCGACCUCACACAAUGAAAGGCGAACCAGUCAGGGAGCUGCUGUUGUGUUUCAUAAGGUGGGAAAUUAAAUACAAUGGUUAAAUCAUAAUGUUAAUGGAAACCUCUUUUGGUUUGCUUUUAAAUUAAUUUUUUAUAUAACUUCUAAAUCUUCAAGAAGCUAAAGGCAACAUAAAUAUUGUCAUUCACCAUGAAAAGACAUUUUUUCAAUAACUUAGGAAGGAUUCAAUAAAAGUCCAACUACACUUGAGGCUUAUCAUGAAACCUAAAAUUCAUAAACUAAACUGAAGUGAAUUCAGAUUUUCAAGACCUGGAAAGCAAGCAGAGGGAGCUCGUGUCAGAAGGUGACUCAGAACCGUGUUGCCUGGAGCAUCACUCUCCCUGCAAGGCUGAAGCACGGGGUGGGGCGGGGGAGAGGACGAUCGGCUCUGGGAGACUGUGAAGUGUUUUCAUCCUCUGUAAACGUGGUGCUGGUA
ensembl:lncRNA PCGF3-AS1 PCGF3 antisense RNA 1